rnacentral:rRNA from 1 species
AUACGAAGGGUCCAAGCGUUACGCGGAAUCACUAUGGGCUUAAAGGGUGCGUAGGCGGACCCGUAAGUGUCUUGUGAAAGACCUCGGCUCAACCGAGGCAAGUCUUGGCAUACUACGGAUCUUGAGGUCGGCAGAGGUUGCCGGAACUCUAGGUGUAGCGGUGAAAUGCGUAGAUAUCUAGAGGAACGCCCAAGGCGAAGGCAGGCAACUGGGCCGAUUCUGACGCUGAGGCACGAAAGCGUGGGUAGCGAACGGGAUUAGAAACCCCAGUAGUCC